UACGUAGGGUGCGAGCGUUGUCCGGAAUUAUUGGGCGUAAAGAGCUCGUAGGCGGUUUGUCGCGUCGACUGUGAAAACCUACAGCUUAACUGUGGGCUUGCAGUCGAUACGGGCAGACUUGAGUUCGGUAGGGGAGACUGGAAUUCCUGGUGUAGCGGUGAAAUGCGCAGAUAUCAGGAAGAACACCCGUGGCGAAGGCGGCUCUCUGGGACGGUACUGACGCUGAGACGCGAAAGCGUGGGGAGCGAACAGG
rnacentral:rRNA from 1 species